rnacentral:rRNA from 1 species
CCUACGGGAGGCAGCAGUGGGGGAUAUUGCACAAUGGGCGAAAGCCUGAUGCAGCAACGCCGCGUGAGCGAAGAAGCCCUUCGGCGCGUAAAGCCCUGUCCUCAGGGAAGAUAAUGACGGUACUUGAGGAGGAAGCCCCGGCUAACUACGUGCCAGCAGCCGCGGUAAUACGUAGGGGGCUAGCGUUAUCCGGAAUUACUGGGCGAAAAGGGGGCGCAGGUGGCAUCUUAAGUCGGAGGUGAAAGGCUAGGGCUCAACCGGAGUAAGCCUUUGAAACUGGGAUACUUGAGUGCAGGAGAGGAAGGCGGAAUUCCUAGUGUAGCGGUGAAAUGCGUAGAUAUUAGGAGGAACACCAGUUGCGAAGGCGGCUCUCUGGACUGUAACUGACGCUGAGGCACGAAGGCGUGGGGAGCAAACAGGAUUAGAUACCCGAGUAGUC